CAUAUAUCCAAGUCCUGGAAAGAAAGCAGAUGGUUGCCUUAGCCACACAAAUAAUUGUCAUAAAACUCUUGCACUAAAAUUUGUGCAGGGAAUUCUCUAGAAGUGGCCCUUGGCCCAUGAUUCAGAGUUUAUUGAUUUACUUGCACACUGUUCUAAUAAUCUUGGUUACCUGAUUUCUCAGAAUACAACAGAUGAGAAACAACAUAUUGGAAGAAAAGAAAGGCUCUUAGAUGGAGGCAGGCUGCCACUGAUUAUAGCACAAAUCACCAUGAGAGAGGAGGUAGAUCCUCUGGUAUGGUUAGGGCACUUGAUGACAUUAGUGAAAGCAUCAAAGAGCUUCAGUUUUACCGAAAUAACAUCUUCAAGAAAAAAAUAGAUGAAAAGAAGAGGAAAAUUAUAGAAAAUGGGGAAAAUGAGAAGACCGUGAGUUGAUGCCAGUUAUCAUGCUGCCACUACAUCGUUAUCUGGAGGCAACUUCUGGUGGUUUUUUUUUCUCACGCUGAUGGCUUGGCAGAGCACCUUCGGUUAACUUGCAUCUCCAGAUUGAUUACUCAAGCAGACAGCACACGAAAUACUAUUUUUCUCCUAAUAUGCUGUUUCCAUUAUGACACAGCAGCUCCUUUGUAAGUACCAGGUCAUGU
rnacentral:lncRNA from 10 species